rnacentral:rRNA from 1 species
AAAGGAAUAGACGGGGACCCGCACAAGCGGUGGAGCAUGUGGUUUAAUUCGAAGCAACGCGAAGAACCUUACCAAGUCUUGACAUCCCGGUGACAGACAUAGAGAUAUGUCCUCUCUUCGGAGCACCGGAGACAGGUGGUGCAUGGUUGUCGUCAGCUCGUGUCGUGAGAUGUUGGGUUAAGUCCCGCAACGAGCGCAACCCUUAUGCUUAGUAGCCAGCGGUCCGGCCGGGCACUCUAGGCAGACUGCCAGGAAUAACCUGGAGGAAGGCGGGGAUGACGUCAAAUCAUCAUGCCCCUUAUGACUUGGGCUACACACGUGCUACAAUGGCGCUGACAAAGGGAAGCAAACCCGCGAGGGGGAGCAAAUCCAGAAACAGCGUCCCAGUUCGGACUGUAGUCUGCAACCCGACUAUACGAAGCUGGAAUCGCUAGUAAUCGCAGAUCAGAAUGCUGCGGUGAAUACGUUCCCGGGUCUUGUACACACCGCCCGU